UACGGGGGGGGCAAGCGUUGUUCGGAAUUACUGGGCGUAAAGGGCUCGUAGGCGGCCAACUAAGUCAGACGUGAAAUCCCUCGGCUUAACCGGGGAACUGCGUCUGAUACUGGAUGGCUUGAGUUCGGGAGAGGGAUGCGGAAUUCCAGGUGUAGCGGUGAAAUGCGUAGAUAUCUGGAGGAACACCGGUGGCGAAGGCGGGUCUCUGGGCCGAUACUGACGCUGAGGAGCGAAAGCGUGGGGAGCGAACAGG
rnacentral:rRNA from 1 species